AAGUAGAUUGUCCUUAAAAUUUCCAAUAAUGACGUGGAUCUAUAAAUAAGUAUAGCAAGAUAUACUGGAAGACCUAUUGCCAGUCACGGACCUGUCAGAACUUAUCAUUAUUUGUUUCAAUAUUCCAGACACGAUUUAUCUCCGUACGUCGCCAGACACAAAACUGUUCCUCGGGGAACUUCACUUUAGCAAAAGUAAGACUUCGGGAUAUUAUGCUGGGACAUGUAGCGUCGCUUUACCCAGACCAUAGUUGAUUGGUAGGUUGACAGAUUUUCCGUCUCCGCGACUCCUCCCGUGUCCGGGUAUCGUCUCGCCGACGAACGCCAGUGUUCUGGUGACGUUGAAGCCACGAUGAUUCGAUUGUGUUUUGAACUCUGCCUCUUUACAUCUGUUUUGGCUGUUCAUUACAAUCAAUCCUUAACUGAAGACCAACCACAACAAGAAGAGAGAGAAGGUCCACUCAAGAAUUAUAUUGGAUUUGCUAUAUUAUUCGGUGUUGUCGUCCUCUUUUUAGGACUACUUUUUGUCGUUUGUAAGUUCGGGUAUCUUGUGGACAAAAUAAAGGAAGUUCUUGGUAGGAGGAGGGCGAGAAAAUACAGUGAGUACCAUCUCCGGACAAGUCAUCUGGACGAAUAACGAAUUGUGAGUAACAUCUCCGGACAAGUUAUCUGGUCAGUAACGAUUCUUAAGGAUAGCAAGCAGACCGGACAAGUUUCAUGACGAUGUUUGACUAGAUUUCUAUGGUAGCUCUUUUUAUGUUUGUUGUUUUUUGUUGGUUUCUGUAAAGACAUUUUGCAAGAUGAUGAUCUGAUUAUUGUGUCCAAUCUAAAGGUGAAGUUCAUCAUCAAUUCAUGAAAUGUACAAAUAAAAUAUAAUUUGAUUACACAAGAAUAUUUCCUUAAAUAUGAGGACCGAAGUUACAAGUUCUAAUGGUACAACACAAUGAUGUAGAGAAGGACAAUAGUAGAGUCACACUAUACAUGACGUGAAUUUAGGUCACACUGUAUAACUAAGGAUGUAGGAUGAAGUCUUUUUAUACUUGAAUAUAUUUCAUAAAGUUCAGAAAUACAACAUA